rnacentral:rRNA from 1 species
GAUGAACGCUGGCGGCGUGCCUAAUACAUGCAAGUCGAGCGAACGGACGAGAAGCUUGCUUCUCUGAUGUUAGCGGCGGACGGGUGAGUAACACGUGGAUAACCUACCUAUAAGACUGGGAUAACUUCGGGAAACCGGAGCUAAUACCGGAUGAUAUUUUGAACCGCAUGGUUCAAAAGUGAAAGACGGUCUUGCUGUCACUUAUAGAUGGAUCCGCGCUGCAUUAGCUAGUUGGUAAGGUAACGGCUUACCAAGGCAACGAUGCAUAGCCGACCUGAGAGGUUGAUCGGCCACACUGGAACUGAGGCACGGUCCAGACUCCUACGGGAGGCAGCAGUAGGGAAUCUUCCGCAAUGGGCGAAAGCCUGACGGAGCAACGCCGCGUGAGUGAUGAAGGUCUUCGGAUCGUAAAACUCUGUUAUUAGGGAAGAACAUAUGUGUAAGUAACUGUGCACAUCUUGACGGUACCUAAUCAGAAAGCCACGGCUAACUACGUG